rnacentral:rRNA from 1 species
GUAAAGCACUUUCAGUCGUGAGGAAGGCGGCGUCGUUAAUAGCGGCGUGUUUGACGUUAGUGACAGAAGAAGCACCGGCUAACUCCGUGCCAGCAGCCGCGGUAAUACGGAGGGUGCGAGCGUUAAUCGGAAUUACUGGGCGUAAAGCGCAUGCAGGUGGUUUGUUAAGUUCAGAUGUGAAAGACCCGGGGCGUUAACCUCGGAAUAGCAUUUGAAACUAGGCAGACUAGAGUACUGUAGAGGGGGGUAGGAAUUUCAGGUGUAGCGGUGAAAUAGCGUAGAGAUCUGAAGGAAUACCGGUGGCGAAGGCGGCCCCCUCGGACAGAUACUGACACUCAGAUGCGAAAGCGUGGGGAGCAAACAGGAUUAGAUACCCUGGUAG